rnacentral:tRNA from 1 species
GCCCAAGUGGUGGAAUUGGUAGACACGCCAUCUUGAGGGGGUGGUGGGGUAAUCCCCGUGCCGGUUCGAGUCCGGCCUUGGGCACCA